CCUGUCUGCGCCUCACAGGCACGUUUCCAGACAUCCCGCAGGAAAACUGGAUGAUCUGUUAAACAAAAAGGACCGUUGCUUAUAAGCUAGACACUCGUAAUUACGUUCACAGUUAGAACAGUGUUAUAGGCCUACUCACGUCGUUAUAAACAUUUCCAAUAAGUUAGGGGACAUUUAAAAUGAUGGGCUACUUUAUUAUUAAACUUGUUAUAGAGACAGUGAUUCUUCAACAACUUUACUUGUUCUUGGACGCAGAGCUCAAGGUUGGGCUUGUUAAAGAGGGGCGGGAUGUUUCCAGUCAAGCCUAGAGCGCCGUGCUGAGCCUCAAAACACUGUUUAGAAGCUCCAGACGAGGCCCUAUUCCCACUUGUUUACUUCAACUUCAAUUUCCAUGUGCGCAACACCACCUGGAAUGCGGACACUGGCGAACACAGAGUUCGAGAAAAACGCAAAUGGCACACGAUCAAGAAUCUCCCCUGCAGGAAUGUUGCGCUUGCUCCAACAAACACUUUUGUGGGUGCGGGUCCUCACACUAGAGAAUUAAGUGGAAGCAAGGCCCUGCCAGACCCUGGACGUGCACUUAGAAGAAACUCCAUUAUCAUUCCCUUCACGUCAUCAAGCCUGGAAGAGAUUCACUUGCAGAUGAUUCAUCAAAAACUAACACUUUCACCAGAAUUUUACAAAAAUAUCAAAUCCAAAGCAACAGCAACUGUUACUGUGCCUCAUUCCACACCACUGGGUGCCUUCGCUACUAAUCUCUAUUGUAAAAGAAAAAGGCAUUUGAUGUAUUAUUGUGUCCCCAAUACAUAAUUUCCACAA